AGUUGCGGGCUUUGCCUGCCAUCUCUUACCCAUGUCUUUUGAGUACCUUACGUUUCCUCGGCGGGUCCGCCCGCCGACUGGACAAUUUAAACCACUUGCAGUUGCAAUCAGCGUCUGAAAAAACUUAAUAGUUACAACUUUCAACAACGGAUCUCUUGGUUCUGGCAUCGAUGAAGAACGCAGCGAAAUGCGAUAAGUAGUGUGAAUUGCAGAAUUCAGUGAAUCAUCGAAUCUUUGAACGCACAUUGCGCCCCUUGGUAUUCCAUGGGGCAUGCCUGUUCGAGCGUCAUUUGUACCUUCAAGCCUUGCUUGGUGUUGGGUGUUUGUCUCGCCUCUGCGCGUAGACUCGCCUCAAAACAAUUGGCAGCCGGCGUAUUGAUUUCGGAGCGCAGUACAUCUCGCGCUUUGCACUCAGAACGACGACGUCCAAAAGUACAUUUUUACACUCUUGACCUCGGAUCAGGUAGGGAUACCCGCUGAACUUAA
rnacentral:sRNA from 1 species